GACGAACGCUGGCGGCGUGCUUAACACAUGCAAGUCGAGCGAACGGACGAGAAGCUUGCUUCUCUGAUGUUAGCGGCGGACGGGUGAGUAACACGUGGAUAACCUACCUAUAAGACUGGGAUAACUUCGGGAAACCGGAGCUAAUACCGGAUAAUAUUUUGAACCGCAUGGUUCAAAAGUGAAAGACGGUCUUGCUGUCACUUAUAGAUGGAUCCGCGCUGCAUUAGCUAGUUGGUAAGGUAACGGCUUACCAAGGCAACGAUGCAUAGCCGACCUGAGAGGGUGAUCGGCCACACUGGAACUGAGACACGGUCCAGACUCCUACGGGAGGCAGCAGUAGGGAAUCUUCCGCAAUGGGCGAAAGCCUGACGGAGCAACGCCGCGUGAGUGAUGAAGGUCUUCGGAUCGUAAAACUCUGUUAUUAGGGAAGAACAUAUGUGUAAGUAACUGUGCACAUCUUGACGGUACCUAAUCAGAAAGCCACGGCUAACUACGUG
rnacentral:rRNA from 1 species